GUACUGAUGAAGAGUCCCCAUCUAGGACGAAACAGCUGUCCAGUAC
rnacentral:hammerhead_ribozyme from 1 species